AUUAUUAUACAUUCAAAUGUCUUUUCCACUUUUAUUUGUGAGCGGGGUUUUUUGCUUAACAGUCAAUUGAGGUGCAUUCUUAGUCUACAAGAAAUUUAAUCUGAGUAAUAUUCAUAAAUGCAGAGACUCAAAUCUGUUAUUAUUUAAUAAAUGAAUGCAUGGCUGUUUCAGAGUAUUGUCUCAGGGUAGCACCCUCCUGUUUUGAUAUCUUUGUAAACUGGAACAAGCAGAAAGGAAGGCCAGGCUAUGAAGGCAGUCCUGGCCAUACAGAGAGCAGUGUAACAACUGCCUCUUGAUUUAUUUUGCACCAGAUUUUAGUUCUCUUGCCUUCACAUACCCAUAGGGAACUGCAUUUUACUGUAGUAACACUUAGAUACACAUCCCUGAGAGAAGAACUGAUCCUCAGAAAUAAGUUUUGAACAAAAAGGUGAGUAGAGAAAAUAUAGACUUAAUUGUAUAUCUAAAAUAACAGAACUGACUCAAACUGUAGAUACAUUCAGUGCAGCAGGGGAACCUGAAAUUAGAAAUUUUUUCUUUUGUUUUCUGCCUCAUCUGGUUUUCUGCUUGUAAUGAGGGCUUAAUGCCCUUUUCUUUUUUCUGUCUUCUUUUCAAAUAAAACUGAAUCAAGCUAUUAAUACAUUCCAUACAGCAAGGUAACCUGAAAUUACACUUUUCACUGUUUCUGCCUCCUCUAUUUUUGUGCUAGAAGAGGGGAUUUCUUGCCUUUUCCCUUUUGUCUUCAUCUGUUACGAUUUCUGUAUAUUAGGCUCAUGAUUCAUUUCACUCUUUUCUCCUAACCCUCCCAUGUCUGGUUACAGGCCACUUUUCCAAAACCCCAGGGAUACAGAUUCCAUUUUGUUCUGUUUUCUGUUUCUCCACCUGCUGCUGACUGACUCUGCUUGGCUUGUCCUCCCAUCCCAAAGCUUGCUCAGCAACCAGCACAGCUUCUGUCCACAACUUCCAUCCACAGCUUCCCACCUUCCCCGUCUGCCAUUUCAAUCUCUCCCACACGUAACCAUUGCUGGGGAGCCCCAAAACUCCCAGCUCCAGUGCUGGUUACUGUGCCUGAGAAAAUGCCUUUAUUCAGGCCAUUAUUCAUUUAUUCAGGAGCUGGAAUCUCAGGAGCCGCUCUCCAUGCUGGCUCUGUUAGGUGAUCAGGAUUUUUGGGAGAGCAGCACACAGCUCAUGGCAGGGCCAGAGUUUCUGUGUGGCAGCACUGAGAACACAAAUACACGCAGGAAUCGUGUGGGCUCCUUAUCCAGGUAUUGCCAAACCCGCCUAUCUUGUCCAAUCCCAUGUGAUGUUGCCCCAGGUGACACAGCUACAAACACAUAAAUCCCACACAUCUGUGUGCUGCCAAGGCUCUGAGAGGAUUCGAGACCAAACCAGUCCUGUGCUGACAUAACACCAGAACAAAUGGAAAUGAAGUUGUUCUUUGUAUCAAACCAUUAACUUCACAGGCAGAAGGAUUCCUCUGAAUUUGUCAGUGUGAAUUACCGGUUGGGGGGUGCUCCCAGCUGAUGUGUCUGGUCCGGCUGCCAAGUGGGGAGAAAUCUGAUUGGAAAAGAUUUGAAGAAGCCCAUGCUGGCAGAAGGUAUUUAUAACCCUGCCACAGUGUCAGGGGCUGCCUUCGGCACCGUGGGCUCGUGGUGCUGCGCUCUGUAAAUCGCAGAUUAUGGGGGCUUUGCCUUAGGAGCUUACAGCUGAGGAGGGCUCACAGGAACUUGUGCCAUUACCUGUCAGAGAACAGAUAGUGCCUGGAUAUGGAGCUAAACUUAGUAUUAUGGGAUGUUAGUCUGAGCUCUCUUGUAUUUUCUCAGUGCGUGUAUAUCUUUCCUUAUUUGUUCUAGAUCUGUCUUGCAAAUCCAAGCAAAUCCCAAACAUCUGCAAGAGAAAACAACUACCCAAGAAUGGGAAGUGGCAAAGCUGCCUGCUCUGUUUCCACUGACCCCUUUGGUUUGUUGUUGCCUCUGUUUUCCAAAACACCCCUACACAACACAUCUUUCAUCCACCUGUUGUAUUGUGCUUUGUGAGCUGCGUGUAGGAGGAAUUGACUUCAUAACGUGCCAAUGUUGUGUAACACACCGAGCCUUGGUACUUAACUGAGCACACCAGAGGGUAAACUGAACCUAAUUUAUGUCCAGCAGCCAGACCCUGAUAGAUUUGGCUUCUUUGAUUCACGUUUUGGAUAUGAGUUUAUCCAUCCAGCCAUGUAUAAGCCACACACAACUAUAAAUGCAAAAAUACUUAGACUGAAGGAAUAUCUAUAAUUUGAACUAAAAUUUCUAAGCAGAGAGGAAAGAGAAAUCCUUAACACAAUGUGUUAAAACUCACAUAUAAGUAGGAAUGCAAUAAAAAUGUAAAUAUCCAGUUGCCAUAAAAUGAUCUAAAGCUGAACUAAUGUAUCAUAUACUGUGUAUUUAUAUGGUGGAACCUGAUUUCAUUGUCAAAGUAGUUUAAAUAGCUCUUGCUAUUUCUGAAAAAUAUGAGUGAUGAUGUCCCGUGCUAUUUUUAGGAAUAAUAUGUUUAUCUUUAUUUAGUUGCACUUAGAUGGAUGCUAUAUGGAGAAGUAAGAAUUAUCCAGUCCUGGGUUGUUUUAGUCUGGGGGAACUAAAGUUACUGGUUUGAGGUGGUGCCAGUGCUGAUCUUUCUGUUCCGUGGGUCAGCAGCUGGAGGUCUGGUCCAUUUUGGAAUCUCUUUUUGUCUGUUCCCAGCUGUCUUCCCUCUUAUCCCAUAGCAGGAUACAUAAAUUACUUUUACAAGUUCAGCAUUCUGGAGCAGUCAUAGAAGUGGAUUUUAAAAGGGGAAAAAAAUCCUCAGAUGAGAGAAGAGAGGCUGAUUCUCCCAAGGUAGUAACCAUCACCCAUCUCAUGGAAAAGCCAGGAUGGAAUAUUACACUUAGUUAAUAUAAAAAACAUAUACUUAGUGGUGCCUUACAAUUGUUCUUUUUUUUAUACUCUUGAAGAAAAAGAAAGGAUACUUUGCUUCAAAGAAUUCAGUGCAAGAACUGAACAUCAGUAUGAACUUCCAAGCUAUAAGAAGGGCUAAACCAGGUCAGGAGAGCAGAACAUGAGGGCAGUGAUGAUCUGCAGGGGGACUGAAUUUGAAGAUUCUGUGAGACAAGAGUAGAAGGUCCUAUGUUCCUCAAGUGAGAAUUAUUAUGGCCAAACUGACAGUGACUGAAGAUGACUGAGCCCCAGUUUCCAGCCAGAAACUCUUCCCUCUGCAGUGUGAGCUGCAGCUGCCCCUCGGAUCCUCCUGCUUCCUCCUGCAUGCUCAGGAGAACUGAACUGAUCCCUCUCGGGAGCUUCUCCUGCUCCAGGCUGGCAGUCCCUGCUCAAUGGGCCAGCUCACAGAACGUCCAUCUCAGCAUCCACUGCACCCUACACGGCAGAAGGGAGGUACCAGGAGAGCUGCUGCUUUUCCUUAACUUCUCCUGGCUCACUGAACUGGCAGCUGCUUGCUCUGAGUGUUUCCACGAACUAAUCUCUUUAUACGGGUAUAUGUGGGAGAAUAAAUCAU